AUAAUUCCAUAUAAAGUACAUUAUAGGUAUUUCAGGAGAAACUAGCAUAAUGUUUUUGUGCUAUACCUGUGUAAGGUCCACAUUCCUUGCCCAUUAGGUAUACAGUGGGUUCUUAUUGUGGCUAACUUCAUAGAUAAAUCCUUUGAUGUACUCAAUCCUGAUUACUCAGUUGAAAAGUUCUCCUCCAUAGUUAACAUUGUAAUAUUCAAUUCAAGCAUCUAUUCCUGAAAAGUUACCCUGGUUGUUUCAAGUUCAAGAUACGUGAUUUCAACGUAAAUUAUGUUCAUGUGCCUAAACACAACUUCAUGUGAUAAUCACAGAUUACUACUAUCCUUUAAAACAUUUUGGUGUCUUUGUACAUUUUCCAAUACUUAAUAUGGCAUUUCUCAUUUUCAUUUCUCCGGAUAUGACUCUGGCAUUUUUGUGAUCCAAUUCAUGAGAUGGUACAAUGGAGUUGAAGUAAAACCAUUCUCAAAUGUUAGCCAUUUCUCCUUCAAAUUUAGUAACUCUGUUUGUUGAGCUUUAGGAAAUCUUAUAUGCACCUGAAAAACUAUUUUAUAAAUAUUAUUCUUGUUUGACAUUGUUGUUUUUUUCAUAUAUGUUUAAUAAAAGGUUGAUGUGCAAGCCAUCUGCGAAAAAGUUUCUUGGUAGAUUUUGAUAAACAAGUUUAAUGAGCAGCAGGUACCAAUCGCAAGGAAUUUCAUUGCUAAAGAUGCUCCGCACAUUCUUCAUUGAAUUAAGCUACUACCAGUGAAGAUGGCAGUUGAUGUACCACAAAAAGGAUUCAGCAAUGGGGAGGAGACACAGAACAUUCACAUGGAAAAAGAAUCAACAUUUAGCUCUCCUAGUGUUAAACAGUUUCAUAAUGCAGCAGUAGAUCUGAUGUAGUGAUACAAAACAAUUUUUGUACACCAUGAUCACAUAUUGACAAAUUAUGUCCUUGGUUAAUCUCUGCUGCAAUUUUGAAUUAGACUUCUGUUACCAA